UUAUUCUCCCGUUCCUCCAUGGAAUUUGCACUACUUUUGCAUUUAUAGCUUAAAUUAAUCAACUUCUGUUGUGGAAGCUCUACCAACUUUUUCACAGGAUAAAUUAGGUUUUGGGCUAUUUCGUCGCUCCAACUUUGUUGCAUCAAGGUAAUCGCUUCGACGCUUCGAAUCAAUUUAAUUGACUGUCUAUGCCACGAAACUUCAUCUCCGCUCUAGAUUUGGUAGGCGUUUGCAUUUUAGAGAAAAAUUAUGUCUGACUUUGCCCUAUUUUGAAUUUAUAUAGUUGCCGAACCUCUGGCUGAAUGAGUUUUUGCUGCUUCGUUGGAACUGAAGAAAGGGGGAAAUUUUACAAUGGUGUCUGAAUUGAAUUUUAGAAUUUUCGUGGGAAUUUAUUGUGAAAAAUGGAUUUUUACAGGAAUUUUAUUGUGACGGUUGGUAUAUAAAAAUUAUUUUUAUUAUUCUUUGUGGCGGGUAGGGGCUUAGUUACGUUCUUACGAC
rnacentral:lncRNA from 1 species